CACGCUCAUGCUCGCUAGGAGCUUAAUCGUGGCAGAGAUGAGGAAGGGUCACGGAUAAGACAGGAACACAAGCAGGAUGUCACCAGUAAGAUGUGCUCCGAGAAGGGUGAAGCUGGCCUCGGUGCACAGAGCGAGUUCAGGGCAAGAAGCUCAUCUAUGUGGAGGAGCUGCCCGUCAAGGACCACUACGCCUUCUACUGUGAAGACC
rnacentral:lncRNA from 1 species